CGUUCCCUACGGGAGGCAGCAGUGGGGGAUAUUGCACAACGGGGGAAACCCUGAUGCAGCGACGCCGCGUGUGGGAAGACGGUCCUCUGGAUUGUAAUCCACUGUCCCCAGGGACGAAGAUGACGGUACCUGGGGAGGAAGCCCCGGCUAACUACGUGCCAGCAGCCGCGGUAAUACGUAGGGGGCAAGCGUUAUCCGGAAUUAUUGGGCGUAAAGAGUGCGUAGGUGGUUACUUAAGCGCGGGGUUUAAGGCAAUGGCUCAACCAUUGUUCGCCCUGCGAACUGGGUUACUUGAGUGCAG
rnacentral:rRNA from 1 species